GAGCUGGUCCUUCGGUCGGCGGGGGACUGGCAGUCGGCGCCGCUUCCUCCGGGAUGACUUCCUCCGCAGCAACUACGCCUCCCGACGGCUGGUCGGCCAUCUCCUCGGUGGCUUCCUCCUCGGCCCCCGGUGGGACGAUGCUGCUAAGGUCAAGCUCCGGAUACAAGGCCCGGACUGCCUCCCGACCGUCCUCGUACCCCACCCGGUACGAGGCGAAACCCGACUCGAGCAUCUCCCCCCGAUAUUGGUCAGAGACCCGGAAGUCUUCAACC
rnacentral:lncRNA from 1 species